rnacentral:lncRNA from 1 species
AAAAAUUUAAACAUAUCGGAAGAGAAAAUCAAAUCAUACGAAACAACUGUAUCUUUUGCCAAAAUCGAUCAGAUCUACUCUUUUAAAUCCAUCAUCAACAACCAAAUUCUUCAAGCCACCCAUUCUUUCAAUACACAACACAAUCGGAGAAGAUAAAUCUAACAAGAGUCAGACGGAAACCCGGCAACAAUGGCAAGAUCGGAAUCUUCUUCUCUUUUUCUAUCCCUUUCACAGUUCCACGAAUUUUUUGUUUUCUCUUACAAUGACUGUUGAAAAAAGUAGCCGAUGAAGAGGAUGAUGGUGUACAGAUCUGGAGGUUGAAGAAGAUUAAGAGUUUGUCGCUGCUUCAAGACUUCCGGAUCUGGAGGUUGAAGAAGGAGGUUGUACAGGUUGGGAUUAUGUAUAAUGUGGAGAUAUGCAUUUGUAUCAUGAAGAUCUGCAUUUGCAUAUUAAAAGGAACACAAUCUCUCCUCUUCCGAUCUGAUUUUGAGAAACGAGGAAGAAGAUGAGUAGAAGCUUAUCAGGGUUAUUUUUUUGAGAGUUGAAGACAAUGAGGAAUAAAAAUUAAUUUGAUAUUAAUUACAAAAAAAUUAAAUAUAUUUUUCAUUUAUUUUCU